UUAAGCAUAUCAUUAAGCGGAGGAAAAGAAACUAACUAGGAUUCCCUUAGUAACGGCGAGUGAAGAGGGAUUAGCCCAGCACCGAAGCUUGCAGUCAUUUGAUUGUUAAGCAAUGUGGUGUUUAGGUUUGUUCUUGGCUUACUGCUUUAUCCUAAGUCCAAUUAUGAGUAUGGCAAUUGGAUUGGCCCAAAGAGGGUGUAAGGCCCGUUUGGAUAAAGAUCAGGUUAGUUGGUAAUAGCCCUGAACAAACCUUGGAGUCGGGUUGUUUGUGAAUGCAGCCCAAAGUGGGUGGUAAACUCCAUCUAAGGCUAAAUACUAGCACGAGUCCGAUAGCAAACAAGUACCGUGAGGGAAAGUUGAAAAGUACUUUGAAGAGAGGGUAAACAGUGCGUGAAACUGCUCAAAGGUAAACGGGUGGAGUUGAACUGGAAGCCUUUGGAAUUCAGCUGGUUGGGUUACUGACGCUUAGAAUCCGUUCAGUUUCGGGCAUUUGUUUGUAGCUUUAUUGGUGCAGACAAGUGUUUGCGAUGUAUCUGUUAGAUACUGCAUGUCUAAGCUGUUUAGUUGUCUGGCUAGUGCACUUUCCUUUGGUGUCCACCACGACCGGUUGUGCUGCCUGCUUGUUUUGAUUAAACCAAUUGAAUGCAAUCCUUGUGAUAGUAUUGAGUUGGGAUAGCAGGUGGCUUGUUAGUUGUAGCUUGCCUUUAGGCAGUUUCAGCUGACAAGUUUAAUCAGCUAGUUGAAACAAGUCUGUCCAGCCUGCCGGUGACUAGUGGGCCUAGUUGGUAUGGUGCGAUUGGUUAGAUGAUGUGAGCUGGUUGGAGUUGUUUGUUCCGGCAAAUGCUUUAGCCGUUUGUGUUGUCUGGUUAGUUGUGCUUUACGCUGGCUUGGUUCAAGAGUCUGUGGUGCAGCGGUAGAUUAUCCACCUGACCCGUCUUGAAACACGGACCAAGAAGUUUAACAUGUAUGCGAGUCAUUGGGCGUUACGAAACCCACAGGCGUAGUGAAAGUAAAAGCUAUACUUAGCUAAGGCGAGAUCCUGUUGCUGUCAAUUAGCUUGGCUUUUUGCAGUGCAGGCGCAUCGCCGGCCCGUUUCAUGAUGUAUUUCAUUGGAGCGGAGCUUGAGCAUACAUGUUGAGACCCGAA
rnacentral:rRNA from 1 species